AACCUUUCCCAAGAUGAGGUAUCUCUUAAGGAUCCAGGUAGACGACCUGGUUGAUAGGCUACAGGUGUAAGUGCAGCAAUGUAUUUAGCUGAGUAGUACUAAUAAUCCGUUGGCUUGCCGGA
rfam:Ignavibacteria bacterium GWF2_33_9 gwf2_scaffold_2129, whole genome shotgun sequence.